CCUACGGGAGGCUGCAGUGGGGAAUAUUGCGCAAUGGGCGAAAGCCUGAUGCAGCGACGCCGCGUGAGUGAUGAAGGUCUUCGGAUCGUAAACCUCUGUCAGCAGGGACGAACGGUCACUGUGCUAAUCAGCAGUGACUUGACGGUACCUGCAAAGGAAGCACCGGCUAACUCCGUGCCAGCAGCCGCGGUAAUACGGAGGGUGCGAGCGUUAAUCGGAAUUACUGGGCGUAAAGCGCUCGUAGGUGGUAUGUCAAGUCAAGGGUGAAAUCCCCGCGCUCAACGUGGGAACUGCCUUUGAAACUGGCAAACUGGAGUGUGUGAGAGGAUAGUGGAAUUCCAGGUGUAGGAGUGAAAUCCGUAGAUAUCUGGAGGAACAUCAGUGGCGAAGGCGACUAUCUGGCACAUAACUGACGCUGAGGAGCGAAAGCGUGGGUAGCAAACAGGAUUAGAUACCCGAGUAGUC
rnacentral:rRNA from 1 species